rnacentral:rRNA from 1 species
AGCAGCCGCGGUAAUUCCAGCUCCAAUAGCGUAUACUAAAGUUGUUGCAGUUAAAAAGCUCGUAGUUGAAUUUCGGGAUUGACGUGAUGGUCGUGCCUUAAGGGGUAUGAACUGUCGCAGUUGAUUUCUCACCUUCUGGAGAAGCUUGAUGUCCUUAAUUGGGUGUCAUGUGGAACCAGGACCUUUACCUUGAAAAAUUAGAGUGUUUAAAGCAGGCAUUUUUGCUCGAAUACAUUAGCAUGGAAUAAUAGAAUAGGACGGCAUGGUUCUAUUUUGUUGGUUUCUAGGAUCACCGUAAUGAUUAAUAGGGAUAGUUGGGGGCAUUAGUAUUCAAUUGUCAGAGGUGAAAUUCUUGGAUUUAUUGAAGGCUAACUACUGCGAAAGCAUUUGCCAAGGAUGUUUUCAUUAAUCAAGAACGAAAGUUAGGGGAUCGAAGACGAUCAGAUACCGUCGUAGUCUUAACCAUAAACUAUGCCGACUAGGAAUCAGACGAUGUUAAUUUUUAAUGACUUACG